rnacentral:rRNA from 1 species
UACGUAGGGUGCGAGCGUUGUCCGGAAUUAUUGGGCGUAAAGGGCUCGUAGGCGGUUUGUCGCGUCGGGAGUGAAAACCAGGUGCUUAACACCUGGCUUGCUUUCGAUACGGGCAGACUAGAGGUAUUCAGGGGAGAACGGAAUUCCUGGUGUAGCGGUGAAAUGCGCAGAUAUCAGGAGGAAUACCAGUGGCGAAGGCGGCGACCUGGGCCAAUACUGACGCUGAGGUGCGAAAGCGUGGGGAGCAAACAGG